AGAGUUUGAUUAUGGCUCAGGAUGAACGCUGGCGGCGUGCUUAACACAUGCAAGUCGAACGGACUCAUAUUGAAACCUAGUGAAGUAUGAGUUAGUGGCGGACGGGUGAGUAACGCGUGGAAAACCUGCCGUAUACUGGGGGAUAACACUUAGAAAUAGGUGCUAAUACCGCAUAAGCGCACAGCUUCGCAUGAAGCAGUGUGAAAAACUGAGGUGGUAUACGAUGGUUCCGCGUCUGAUUAGCUAGUUGGUGGGGUAAAAGCCUACCAAGGCAACGAUCAGUAGCCGGCCUGAGAGGGUGAACGGCCACAUUGGGACUGAGACACGGCCCAAACUCCUACGGGAGGCAGCAGUGGGGAAUAUUGCACAAUGGGGGAAACCCUGAUGCAGCGACGCCGCGUGAGUGAAAAAGUAUUUCGGUAUGUAAAGCUCUAUCAGCAGGGAAGAAAUACUGAACAUAGGGUCAGCAGACGGUACUUGACUAAGAAGCCCCGGCUAACUACGUGCCAGCAGCCGCGGUAAUACGUAGGGGGCAAGCGUUA
rnacentral:rRNA from 1 species